rnacentral:rRNA from 1 species
AACGAACGCUGGCGGCAUGCCUAACACAUGCAAGUCGAACGAGACCUUCGGGUCUAGUGGCGCACGGGUGCGUAACGCGUGGGAACCUGCCCUUAGGUUCGGAAUAACUCCCGGAUGGGGUGGUUAAACCGGAUUAUUUUCUCGGACCAAAGAUUUAUCGCCUUUGGAUGGGCCCGCGUUGGAUUAGCUAGUUGGUAGGGUAAAAGCCUACCAAGGCGACGAUCCAUAGCUGGUCUGAGAGGAUGAUCAGCCACACUGGGACUGAGACACGGCCCAGACUCCUACGGGAGGCAGCAGUGGGGAAUAUUGGACAAUGGGCGAAAGCCUGAUCCAGCAAUGCCGCGUGAGUGAUGAAGGCCUUAGGGUUGUAAAGCUCUUUUACCCGGGAUGAUAAUGACAGUACCGGGAGAAUAAGCUCCGGCUAACUCCGUG